AAACCUGAGCAGUAUUAGUAAAAACCGUCAACUCAUCAAGAGGCAAGGAAACCCACUCGAAACCACCUGCCUUACUUUGAAACUGACUAUUGAUGUUGCUUUCAACGUCCUCAGCUCUUCGAAUGACUCCUCUCGCCAGAAGGCUAAAAAUCUUAGAAUAUGUCUAUUUUCUCCAUACACAUUUUCUUUUUCAGCUGCCUCCGUCAUGAUUUAAUGAACUCACCAUUGAUGGGCAGAUGGAGAUCCAGACUUACAGAGGAGGGGCGCUCACAUCUCCGCAGAGACUAUCCUGGGGCAGGACUGGAGCCAGACGUCUGGGCCUGCCUUACGGGCCCCCGUUUCACACCCACUUCCCAACACUGGACCUCAUCCUGCUUCUGUACAGUGGCUGCUGCCCCGGAGGGGCCGGACCCAAGGAUCCUGGGGGCAGGUCCUGAGGAGGAAGAAUGCUUGUGGAUCCUCCCUGUGUGGCUUCGGGGACCCCUCCCCCUCCUCUACCCACAGAGUUUGCAAGCACAGGUCUGGGUGAUAACAGGAGGUUGGCACCAGGAUGAACUGGCUGCCACAGCGAGCAGCCCCCACCCAGGGAUGCUGCCACGCAGAAUGCGCCAGCUGUUCCCAGCAUCCCCAUGAUGGUUCCCCAAGCUACCGCCUUCUUCCCAUACCAUACCAGUGCCCUUGGGUCUCAGCCCCAGAGAGAACCUGAGCCUAGAGCCUACCCUUAAUCCUAGGCUGGAGCCAAAGCACCCAGGACCCGGACCCCUGAACCCUUCUGCAGGAGAUGCACUGGGCCACCCGGCAGCGGCCAGCCCAGAGACCUCGAUACCAUAGGGAAGCCUGGAGCCCACAGCCCGGUGCUGGGAGCCUGGAAUGAAGAAGGGGGAGACCAGAAUGGAGAGCCUGGCUAAAACCCCUGCUCCACAGCCCAGAGUGGCACCGGGGACAAAGGCCAGCCGAGUGAGCUCAGC
rnacentral:lncRNA from 1 species